GAUGAACGCUAGCGGCAGGCCUAAUACAUGCAAGUCGAACGGUAACAGGGUAGCAAUACCGCUGACGAGUGGCGCACGGGUGCGUAACGCGUAUGCAACUUACCUUUAACUGGGAGAUAGCCCCUCGAAAGAGGGAUUAAUACCCCAUAGUAUAAUGAAGAAGCAUUUCUUUAUUAUUAAAGCUCAGGCGGUUAAAGAUGGGCAUGCGUUGCAUUAGCUUGUUGGUGAGGUAACGGCUCACCAAGGCUACGAUGCAUAGGGGAUCUGAGAGGACUAACCCCCACACUGGUACUGAGACACGGACCAGACUCCUACGGGAGGCAGCAGUAAGGAAUAUUGGUCAAUGGACGCAAGUCUGAACCAGCCAUGCCGCGUGCAGGAUGACGGCCCUAUGGGUUGUAAACUGCUUUUAUACGGGAAAAAACCCUUGCUCGUGAGCGAGGUUGAUGGUACUGUAAGAAUAAGGAUCGGCUAACUCCGUG
rnacentral:rRNA from 1 species